UACGUAGGGGGCGAGCGUUAUCCGGAAUUAUUGGGCGUAAAGAGUGCGUAGGUGGCCAUGUAAGCGCGGGGUGAAAGGCAAUAGCUUAACUAUUGUAAGCCUUGCGAACUGUAUGGCUUGAGUGCAGGAGAGGAAAGUGGAGUUCCUAGUGUAGCGGUGAAAUGCGUAGAUAUUAGGAGGAACACCAGUGGCGAAGGCGACUUUCUGGACUGUAACUGACGCUGAGGUGCGAAAGCGUGGGUAGCAAACAGGAUUAGAUACCCCGGUAGUCCCU
rnacentral:rRNA from 1 species